rnacentral:lncRNA from 1 species
AUUCAUUCAUGCAUCUCAACUACGUUCUUCUUUUUUUACAUCAAAAGUCAAAUACUCAUUGUCUAUAUUUAUUUUAACGAUCGAGGUUAAACUAAUAAUUAUUAGGUACUUAAGUACUUUAGUAGUUAGUACUUAGGCUCGGCCUAGAUAUAUAUACAUACUCUAAUUACUAUUUAUUAAUUUAUACCUUGCCUGACAAGAUAUAAAAAACGAGCCAAUUGUCUAGCUUGCUGCUCCUCCUCACAUUCUCCAUAUGUAAAACCUUGCAUAGCAUUUGAAAAAACAAUCGAACAAUCCUAAAAUUUUAAUUCAUUUUAAAAAUUUGGGAUCUCCGAACAUUGUAGUUUGUCUUUGUUAAUUUCGCGACUGUAAAAAUUAUAUGACAGUUUUCAUUAAAUCAGUAGAAAAAAUUGACAGAAGCUAAAGAAGAAGAAAAAAAAACCUUAUCAAACCAGAGAAUAACAAUGCAAGAUCUCAUAAACGUACCUAAGUGCCAAUGACAAUGCUGCCGAGAGAAGAGUUGCAACGGCAGAAUUAGCGAUUUAAUUUUCACAACUGUUGGUGAUUUUAAAACUCAACGAUGUCGGACUUGCAAUAAUCUGCACGACUGUUGGAACAAAACUCGCCAUCUGCAGAAUGACGGACUUGCAAUAAUCUGCACGACUGUUGGAACAAAACUCGCCAUCUGCAGAAUGACGGACUCGCAAUUUGCACAACACGGACUUGGAAAAACCGGCAGAAAUCACAAGAGUCGGCAAAAGAGGCACCAGCAACGGACUCGGAAUCACAACGAUUUAAUCGCAAGAUGAAAUCGAGAGCAAAAAACCGAAAUCAAUUUCAUAAAAAGGAAUAAAAAAAUGCAAACAACGAAAACUUGGUGACGUGUGUCUGACAAAGGGAGAAAAAAAUUGUAUAAAAUUUUAGUGAUUUGUUGAGAAAUUGUAUAAAGAAAAAUAAAAUACUAGUUAUUGUGUAAAGAAAACAAAGAAAAAAGAAAAAAAGGAAUGUGUAAAUGCCUUGGUGAUGACAAUGUCGAUCAUCAGUUGCAUCCAAAGAGGAUCGUGUAAAUGCCUUGGUGAUGUUGUUUGGCCAGAGAUCAAGACGUC